rnacentral:rRNA from 1 species
AACGAACGCUGGCGGCAUGCCUAACACAUGCAAGUCGAACGAAGGCUUCGGCCUUAGUGGCGCACGGGUGAGUAACGCGUGGGAAACUGCCUAUUGGUGGGGAAUAACGACGGGAAACUGUAGCUAAUACCGCAUAAGCCCUGCGGGGGAAAGAUUUAUCGCCGAUAGAUGUGCCCGCGUCCGAUUAGCUAGUUGGUGAGGUAAUGGCUCACCAAGGCGACGAUCGGUAGCUGGUCUGAGAGGAUGAUCAGCCACACUGGGACUGAGACACGGCCCAGACUCCUACGGGAGGCAGCAGUGGGGAAUAUUGGACAAUGGGCGAAAGCCUGAUCCAGCAAUGCCGCGUGAGUGAUGAAGGCCUUAGGGUUGUAAAGCUCUUUCGGGUGGGACGAUGAUGACGGUACCACCAGAAGAAGCCCCGGCUAACUUCGUGCCAGCCGCCGCGGUAA